CUUAGACUGCAGUCGAACGGGUUGCUAUUUUGUAGCAAUACAGAAUAGCGCUAGUGGCGAACGGGUGAGUAAUGUAAAAGUAACCUACCCCAGAGUGGAGCAAAACCCGCCGAAAGGUGGGCUAAUUCUCCAUAUUAUCCUAAAACAUAAGUUUUAAGAUGAAAGACUUCGGUCGCUCUGUGAGGGGCUUUUAUCCUAUCAGCUUGUUGGUGAGGUGACUGCUCACCAAGGCAGUGACGGGUAGGGGGUGUGAGAGCAUGAUCCCCCACAUGGGAACUGAGACACGGUCCCAACUCCUACGGGAGGCAGCAGUCUAGAAAUUUGGGCAAUGGGCGAAAGCCUGACCCAGCGACGCCGCGUGAGGGAUGACGUCCUUCGGGAUGUAAACCUUUGUUGAGGGGGACGAUAAUGACGGUACCCCUCGAGGAAGCCUCGGCUAACUCCGUGCCAGCAGCCGCGGUAAAACGGAGGAGGCAAGCGUUGUCCGGAAUCACUGGGCGUAAAGGGUGUGUAGGUG
rnacentral:rRNA from 1 species